GAUGAACGCUGGCGGCGUGCCUAAUACAUGCAAGUCGAGCGAACGGACGAGAAGCUUGCUUUUCUGAUGUUAGCGGCGGACGGGUGAGUAACACGUGGAUAACCUACCUAUAAGACUGGGAUAACUUCGGGAAACCGGAGCUAAUACCGGAUAAUAUUUUGAACCGCAUGGUUCAUAAGUGAAAGACGGUCUUGCUGCCACUUAUAGAUGGAUCCGCGCUGCAUUAGCUAGUUGGUAAGGUAACGGCUUACCAAGGCAACGAUGCAUAGCCGACCUGAGAGGGUGAUCGGCCACACUGGAACUGAGACACGGUCCAGACUCCUACGGGAGGCAGCAGUAGGGAAUCUUCCGCAAUGGGCGAAAGCCUGACGGAGCAACGCCGCGUGAGUGAUGAAGGUCUUCGGAUCGUAAAACUCUGUUAUUAGGGAAGAACAUAUGUGUAAGUAACUGUGCACAUCUUGACGGUACCUAAUCAGAAAGCCACGGCUAACUACGUG
rnacentral:rRNA from 1 species